GACGUAGGGCGCGAGCGUUGUCCGGAUUUAUUGGGCGUAAAGAGCUCGUAGGCGGCUUGUCGCGUCGACUGUGAAAACCCGUGGCUCAACCAUGUGGUCUGCAGUCGAUAGCGGGCAGGCUAGAAUUCGGUAGGGGAGACUGGAAUUCCUGGUGUAGCGGUGAAAUGCGCAGAUAUCAGGAGGAACACCGAGUGGCGAAAGGCAGGUCUCUGGGCCACUACUGACGCUGAGAAGCGAAAGCAUGGGGAGCGAACAGG
rnacentral:rRNA from 1 species